GCCAGGUGUGGUGGCACACACCUGUAGUCCCAGCUACUUGGGAGGCUGAGGCAGGAGAAUUGCUUGAACCCAGGAGGCAGAGGUUGCAGUGAGCCAAGAUCAGGCCACUGCAUUCCAGCCUGGGUGACAGAGUAAGACUCUGUCUCAA
rnacentral:SRP_RNA from 1 species